UACGUAGGGCGCAAGCGUUGUCCGGAAUCAUUGGGCGUAAAGAGCUCGUAGGCGGCCUGUUGCGUCCGCUGUGAAAUCCCGGGGCUUAACCCCGGGCGUGCAGUGGAUACGGGCCGGCUGGAGGCAGGCAGGGGAGAACGGAAUUCCCGGUGUAGCGGUGAAAUGCGCAGAUAUCGGGAGGAACACCGGUGGCGAAGGCGGUUCUCUGGGCCUGUACUGACGCUGAGGAGCGAAAGCGUGGGGAGCGAACAGG
rnacentral:rRNA from 1 species